GAGUGAAUCCUUUUUAGUUUUGAUAUUUUUAAAAGAUAGUUUGUUUCACUUUCAAUAUCUGUUUAAUUUGUGGCUUAUCUUGCAGCAAGAUAACAAUGGGUCUAGAUAAGUUGCCUUGAAGUUUUGCAAAUAAUGUGGUUACAUCGUCCAGCUCAUGCCUUUUUCUUGUACACACUUGAUGGUACUACUAUUCCGUCUUGCGGAGUGUGUCAUCCAUGAUGUAUGGCGUUUUGUUGAAGCUUUUUGGCUUAGGUGGAAAGAGUGUGGCUUUCCUUUGUGGGUUCGUUUGGGUGGAAAAGUAAUUAUGCGUGAAAGGGUGUUAUUCAUUAGAACAAUUUCGUUUAGAUUGAGUUUUGAUUUUCUCUCCUUUCUGGCUACCAGCAUUUUGAACCCGUGUUCAAGCAAUUCAGUGCCGAGCAAUGAACCACAGUACCAAAAGUCAGCUGCUGGUUAACAAUGCGCCUCUAGGGUUGCCUGAUUUUCGCAAAAAUAUGGGCGUGGCUUUUCGUUCUUUAAGCGGAGCGCGGCUGUUCUUUUUCCUGGGUACCCGUGGGUGAAGGGAAGGAAUUGUAC